AACGAACGCUGGCGGCAGGCCUAACACAUGCAAGUCGAACGGGACCUUCGGGUCUAGUGGCGGACGGGUGAGUAACGCGUGGGAACGUGCCCUUUGGUUCGGAAUAGCCCCGGGAAACUGGGAGUAAUACCGGAUAAGCCCUACGGGGGAAUGAUUUAUCGCCAAAGGAUCGGCCCGCGUUGGAUUAGGUAGUUGGUGGGGUAAUGGCCUACCAAGCCGACGAUCCAUAGCUGGUUUGAGAGGAUGAUCAGCCACACUGGGACUGAGACACGGCCCAGACUCCUACGGGAGGCAGCAGUGGGGAAUCUUAGACAAUGGGGGAAACCCUGAUCUAGCCAUGCCGCGUGAUCGAUGAAGGCCUUAGGGUUGUAAAGAUCUUUCAGUGGGGAAGAUAAUGACUGUACCCACAGAAGAAGCCCCGGCUAACUCCGUGCCAGCCGCCGCCGUAACAC
rnacentral:rRNA from 1 species